UACGUAGGGGGCAAGCGUUGUCCGGAAUCAUUGGGCGUAAAGCGCGUGUAGGCGGCCCGAUAAGUCCGCUGUGAAAGUCCAGGGCUCAACCCUGGAAUGCCGGUGGAUACUGUCGGGCUCGAGUCCGGAAGAGGCGAGUGGAAUUCCUGGUGUAGCGGUGAAAUGCGUAGAUAUCGGGAGGAACACCGGUGGCGAAGGCGGGAUCCUGGGCCAGUACUGACGCUGAGGAGCGAAAGCGUGGGGAGCAAACAGG
rnacentral:rRNA from 1 species